rnacentral:rRNA from 1 species
GAUGAACGCUGGCGGCGUGCCUAAUACAUGCAAGUCGAGCGAACGGACGAGAAGCUUGCUUCUCUGAUGUUAGCGGCGGACGGGUGAGUAACACGUGGAUAACCUACCUAUAAGACUGGGAUAACUUCGGGAAACCGGAGCUAAUACCGGAUAAUAUUUUGAACCGCAUGGUUCAAAAGUGAAAGACGGUCUUGCUGUCACUUAUAGAUGGAUCCGCGCUGCAUUAGCUAGUUGGUAAGGUAACGGCUUACCAAGGCAACGAUGCAUAGCCGACCUGAGAGGGUGAUCGGCCACACUGGAACUGAUACACGGUCCAGACCCCUACGGGAGGCAGCAGUAGGGAAUCUUCCGCAAUGGGCGAAAGCCUGACGGAGCAACGCCGCGUGAGUGAUGAAGGUCUUCGGAUCGUAAAACUCUGUUAUUAGGGAAGAACAUAUGUGUAAGUAACUGUGCACAUCUUGACGGUACCUAAUCUGAAAGCCACGGCUAACUACGUG